CUAUGGGACGCAGCAGUGGGGAAUCUUAGACAAUGGGCGCAAGCCUGAUCUAGCCAUGCCGCGUGAGUGACGAAGGCCUUAGGGUCGUAAAGCUCUUUCGCUGGGGAAGAUAAUGACGGUACCCAGUAAAGAAACCCCGGCUAACUCCGUGCCAGCAGCCGCGGUAAUACGGAGGGGGUUAGCGUUGUUCGGAAUUACUGGGCGUAAAGCGCGCGUAGGCGGAUCAGAAAGUUGGGGGUGAAAUCCCGGGGCUCAACCCCGGAACUGCCUUCAAAACUCCUGGUCUUGAGUUCGAGAGAGGUGAGUGGAAUUCCGAGUGUAGAGGUGAAAUUCGUAGAUAUUCGGAGGAACACCAGUGGCGAAGGCGGCUCACUGGCUCGAUACUGACGCUGAGGUGCGAAAGCGUGGGGAGCAAACAGGAUUAGAUACCCGCGUAGUC
rnacentral:rRNA from 1 species